GAUGAACGCUGGCGGCGUGCCUAAUACAUGCAAGUCGAGCGAACAGACGAGGAGCUUGCUCCUCUGACGUUAGCGGCGGGCGGGUGAGUAACACGUGGAUAACCUACCUAUAAGACUGGGAUAACUUCGGGAAACCGGAGCUAAUACCGGAUAAUAUAUUGAACCGCAUGGUUCAAUAGUGAAAGACGGUUUUGCUGUCACUUAUAGAUGGAUCCGCGCCGCAUUAGCUAGUUGGUAAGGUAACGGCUUACCAAGGCAACGAUGCGUAGCCGACCUGAGAGGGUGAUCGGCCACACUGGAACUGAGACACGGUCCAGACUCCUACGGGAGGCAGCAGUAGGGAAUCUUCCGCAAUGGGCGAAAGCUUGACGGAGCAACGCCGCGUGAGUGAUGAAGGUCUUCGGAUCGUAAAACUCUGUUAUUAGGGAAGAACAAAUGUGUAAGUAACUAUGCACGUCUUGACGGUACCUAAGCAGAAAGCCACGGCUAACUACGU
rnacentral:rRNA from 1 species